AGCGCAACUCGGCACAUCGCUCAGGCUCGCACACCUUCUAAGCGCUUGGCCGCAGGUUCGAGUCCUGCCGGGG
rnacentral:tRNA from 1 species